GUUUGAGGGAAGGUCACGUGAGAACAAAGAGGCCUCAGAGCCCGAAGGCUGGGAAAUGUGGUGAGGUCGCAGCAGGGACCUCCGCGCUUCUAGACUAUCCGGGAAAGAAGUGCCGCCGGCAGGACUCGCCCUCCUAACCUACCGCCCCUGGAUGGAAAACGGAAACAAAGAAGUUAAAUAAUUUACUUGGGCCUAGCAUAUGAGGGGAAAAAAGCCUAUGCUGGUCUGCAACACUUUACUAACCUGAUACAAAUUGGAGGAGAGUGAGGCUGUCGACUUCUGCAACCUGCCUAGGGUGACUGAAUCAGUGGCAGCAGUGGCGGUUUCCAGACCUUUCGGCCUGCAGAUGGUAAGGGGAUCUGACAACGGGUCAGAAGGAGAUUUACAGGGGUCCCUUUGCUGGCACCAGGGGCAGGACUCUGUUGCAUAGCCUAUAGUUGGAUCUGGGUAACAAUCCUGGGUCUUAGUCCCAGUGCAAGGAAGAACACUAGCACAGCAGAACUUGUGGCCACAGGGGAGCAGGGAUUCCGAUCACAGUUCAAGGGCUGAAAAGUGUGUUUGGGUCAUUUACAAACCAGUGCACAAUACAGGAGAGUAAUAAACACACCUCUCCCUAGAUCAUAACCACCUUGGAAGAGCCAAAAACUUACAGGUCUCCAGAAUUACUUCUGAAAACAGCUGCACAAAAAACCUGAAGCUUGGAACAGUGCCCUCCCCAUUUGGGAAGAAAGCCCCACUUUAGCAUAGAGUUAAAAGUCAAGAAAUAAAAUUCCUGCAUCCA